rnacentral:rRNA from 1 species
GUGGGGAAUAUUGGGCAAUGGGGGAAACCCUGACCCAGCAACGCCGCGUGAAGGAAGAAGGUCUUCGGAUCGUAAACUUCUAUCCUUGGUGAAGAUAAUGACGGUAGCCGAGAAGGAAGCCCCGGCUAACUACGUGCCAGCAGCCGCGGUAAUACGUAGGGGGCAAGCGUUGUCCGGAAUGAUUGGGCGUAAAGGGCGCGUAGGCGGCCCGGUAAGUCUGAAGUGAAAGUCCUGCUUUUAAGGUGGGAAUUGCUUUGGAUACUGUCGGGCUUGAGUGCAGGAGAGGUAAGCGGAAUUCCCGGUGUAGCGGUGAAAUGCGUAGAGAUCGGGAGGAACACCAGUGGCGAAGGCGGCUUACUGGACUGUAACUGACGUUGAGGCUCGAAAGCGUGGGGAGCAAACAGGAUUAGAAACCCGAGUAGUCC